rnacentral:rRNA from 1 species
AAAACGACUCUCGGCAACGGAUAUCUCCGCUCUCGCAUCAAUGAAGAACAUUGCGAAAUGCGAUACUUGGUGUGAAUUGCAAAAUCCUGUGAACUAUCGAGUCUUUGAACGCAAGUUGCGCCCGAAGCAAUUAGGCCGAGAGCACGUCUGCCUGAGCGUC